AACCCUAAACUCAAAUUUGUUUUCCCGAAUUUCUCUCUCUCUCUCUCUCUCUCUCUCUCUCUCUCUCUCUCUCUCUCUCUCACAUUCCUUCCCUCUAACCCUAAACUCAAAUUUGUUUUUCCUCAUUUCUCUCUCUCUCUCUCUCUCUCUCGACAAUUCGAUAAUGAGUAGUAGUACCGGAACCAUGUCCAAUAACCCUAAUGAUCAGUGGCUCCAAUUCUACACCCAAAACCUCAAUUCUUCUACUCCUGCUUCAAUGUUUUGCCAUGAUCAAGUCUCUGAU
rnacentral:lncRNA from 1 species